rnacentral:rRNA from 1 species
ACGCUCGACACCUACGGGAGCAGCAGUGGGGAAUAUUGCACAAUGGGGGAAACCCUGAUGCAGCGACGCCGCGUGAAGGAAGAAGUAUCUCGGUAUGUAAACUUCUAUCAGCAGGGAAGAAAAUGACGGUAUCUGACUAAGAAGCCCCGGCUAACUACGUGCCAGCAGUCGCGGUAAUCUGAGCGGGCUGGCAAGGC